GAUGAAGAACGCAGCGAAAUGCGAUAAGUAAUGUGAAUUACAGAAUUCCGUGAAUCAUCGAAUCUUUGAACGCACAUUGCGCCCUCUGGUAUUCCGGGGGGCAUGCCUGUCCGAGCGUCAUUUGCAACCCUCAAGCCCGGCUUGUGUGAUGGGUGCCGUCCCCUACGGGACGCGCCCCGAAGGCAAUGGCGGCGUCGCGGUUAUCCGAUCAGCCAAAGUGUAUGGGGCUUUGUCACUCACUUUACGGCCCGGACCGGCGCCAGUCCGAAUCAAUCUUUUUUCUAAAGUUGACCUCGGAUCAGGUAGGGAUACCCGCUGAACUUAAGCAUAUCAAUAAGCGGAGGA
rnacentral:misc_RNA from 1 species